UCGCUCAAAGUCUGUUAUUUGUUGUCGUGCUUCGCCUAAGCAAAAAGCGAAUGUAGUUAAAAUGAUUCGUAAAGGAGCUAAGGGAACUAUUACCCUUGCUGUUGGCGAUGGUGCAAACGAUGUUGCUAUGAUUCAACAAGCCCAUAUUGGUGUUGGUAUCUUUGGUAAAGAAGGAACACAAUCUGC
rnacentral:ribozyme from 1 species